GACGAACGCUGGCGGCGUGCCUAAUACAUGCAAGUAGAACGCUGAAGGAGGAGCUUGCUUCUCCGGAUGAGUUGCGAACGGGUGAGUAACGCGUAGGUAACCUGCCUGGUAGCGGGGGAUAACUAUUGGAAACGAUAGCUAAUACCGCAUAACAGUAGAUAUCGCAUGAUAUCUGCUUGAAAGGUGCAAUUGCAUCACUACCAGAUGGACCUGCGUUGUAUUAGCUAGUUGGUGAGGUAACGGCUCACCAAGGCGACGAUACAUAGCCGACCUGAGAGGGUGAUCGGCCACACUGGGACUGAGACACGGCCCAGACUCCUACGGGAGGCAGCAGUAGGGAAUCUUCGGCAAUGGACGGAAGUCUGACCGAGCAACGCCGCGUGAGUGAAGAAGGUUUUCGGAUCGUAAAGCUCUGUUGUAAGGGAAGAACGAGUGUGAGAGUGGAAAGUUCACACUGUGACGGUAUCUUACCAGAAAGGGACGGCUAACUACGUG
rnacentral:rRNA from 1 species